rnacentral:lncRNA from 1 species
ACGGUUUGAUAGGAGCUAGGAGUGGAGGAGAUAGAUGAAGGGUUCAUUUAAUCCUUUAUUUGGCCUGCUCUCCACUUGGUUUUUCUAGGGUUUUCAUGCUACGAGAAUGCCUUCAGCCAGGAGGAAAAGCCCUGUGAUAUGGUGCGGGAAACUGUCUGUAGUCUUCUCACUCUCAGUUCACUAAAUUACGCAGCAUUUAGAACUCUCAAAGGGAUCUCUUUCUGUGAGCCUUCAAUGUUUGUAGUUCCUCCCCAGUGUACUGUGAGCCUUCUUCACCAAGCCUGUGUAAGAACUAC